rnacentral:rRNA from 1 species
GGCGAACGGGUGAGUAACACGUGGGUGAUCUGCCCUGCACUCUGGGAUAAGCCUGGGAAACUGGGUCUAAUACCGGAUAGGACCAUGCUUUAGUGUGUGUGGUGGAAAGUUUUUCGGUAUAGGAUGAGCCCGCGGCCUAUCAGCUUGUUGGUGGGGUAAUGGCCUACCAAGGCGGCGACGGGUAGCCGGACUGAGAGGUUGGUCGGCCACAUUGGGACUGAGAUACGGCCCAG